GAAGUGGCUCAGUGGUAGAGCAUCUGCUGGGCAGACAGAAGGUCCCAAGAGCUUCUGUUAAAAUGACCAAGGCAGCAGGUGAUCCGGUCCAAUUCCCAGCAGCUCCA
rnacentral:tRNA from 1 species